rnacentral:rRNA from 1 species
UACGUAGGGGGCGAGCGUUGUCCGGAUUUAUUGGGCGUAAAGAGCGUGUAGGCGGCCAGGUAGGUCUGCUGUGAAAACUCGAGGCUCAACCUCGAGACGUCGGCGGAAACCAUCUGGCUAGAGUCCGGAAGAGGAGAGUGGAAUUCCUGGUGUAGCGGUGGAAUGCGUAGAGAUCAGGGGGAACACCGAUGGCGAAGGCACCGCUCUGGCCGAAUCCUGACGCUGAGGCGCGAAAGCGCGGGGAGCGAACAGG